rnacentral:lncRNA from 1 species
AAUACCUACUGAUAAAAUAUAUUUGUUUCUCCUCUUUCCUUCUCUCCUCUGCACACUCUCUCCUUCUCUUUCUCUCAUGGAGUACAAGAAUCAAUGCAUUCCCCCGGAAAAACCUCUGUGUUGUAACUUGUGUAACACUAAAAGUCAAAACUUCAAGAAAUUAUUAAUUAUGAACCGUUUUGCUCAAGAUUCCUCCAUUUAAAAUAAAUAAAUAAAUACGCAACCAUAAAGAAAGAGAAGACCUUCAUUCAUUCCAACUCUAAUCUACGUGGAAGCAUCACAAUUUACAUGAUUUCUUUUUUACAUUUAAACUGCAGAGUCCUCAUUUCAGAAAUGCUAAAGCAAGCAAGAAAACACAACCAUAUACUACUACAUAACAUGCUUAAAUUAUAUUAUAAUGUAACCUGACAAAAAAAAGAGUACACUGAUAAAUAAGAAACUUUUUAUGUUGAAAUCCAAAAAGCUCAUCCCAUGUUCAUUACAGACUUACAAAUGCUAUUUGUUGAUUCAUUACAAACAUUGAACAUUCUUUUUAAUUAUCAUAUGAAGCAAUGCAAGAAGCUCAUCCAAUAUUCCUAUGCAAUAUCUUAUUUACUAGCCUGAGAUGAUGAUGGGUGACAAACAACACAAUACCGUUCAUCAUCAAACACCACCACCACCACCAAGCUCUUGGACACACUACCUACCGAUAACAGUAGCAGGCAUGCGUGCAGUAACAGUAUCGUGGCUUGGCACAAACCCUUUUACUUGAGCUUCCCAACCAUGAUACCAAAAGCACCAUCAAUAAUACGAGUAUUGGUAGUACAAAAGGUGAGGAACCACUCUCUACUUCAACUUCUUCCUCUGGUUCACUUGAGAAGAGCUUUGGUAUAACCAGAAGAAUCAAUGCCACAGCCAAGAACAGAACAACAUUGGAAGUAUGAGUAUCAUUAGCCCUGGGUUUACAAUAGUAGUAACCCAUCAAGUGAUUAGAAAGGAAGGCCUAAGAAAGUGGGAAGAGUUUAUUGAAGGGAUUCACAAUGAUAAAGUCGGAGAAUACAAUGAAGACAAGGGAAUUGCUCCAACCAUAUCAACAUGGAAUUUUAUGAAAAAAAGGUGGAAUCUCAAUAAGAACAAUUAUCAAACAUAACAUUAUUGUCCUCCACACAACUUUUUGGUAGUUGCUCAAUUAAUAUUAUCUUUUUAGUUAGGCAAUCACAUUCCGUGAGAAAGAAGAUAUUAUCAUCGCAUAUACAUAGUUGUGGGGUCAAUUGAAGCAUUUAUAAGGCAGCGUUUGGAUCUUAAUAUUAUGAUUUUCAAUUUGCUCAAGUAUUAACCGUUCUUAUACAGCACCAAUAUUUAUUGAGCAGGAGUUAGGAAUGAAGUGUGCUAUUGAAAGACUCCUUUUCUAGAAUGAAUUAUUAACCAAAAGGUCAAUUCACAUUACCAACUCAUUUAUCCUGUGACUCGUGGAACUGGCUUUUACCUAUAGAAGUCUAAUUGUUAAUCAAAAGGUCAAUUUACAUUCCCAACUCAUUAUUUAUCCUGUGACUCAUAGAAUUGGCUUUUACCUGAGAAUAGAAGUCUAAGAAAGUGUUUGGAUGGAGGAAUGUUUUGAGGGAAUGUAAUGUUUC